AUUGAACGCUGGCGGCAGGCCUAACACAUGCAAGUCGAGCGAGCGGCGGACGGGUGAGUAAUGUAUGGGGACUGCCCGAUAGAGGGGGAUAAAUACUGGAAACGGUGGCUAAUACCGCAUACUAUCGGAUAACCCAUAUGGGAUUAGCUAGUAGGUGGGGUAAAGGCGCACCUAGGCGACGAUCUCUAGCUGGUCUGAGAGGAUGAUCAGCCACACUGGGACUGAGACACGGCCCAGACUCCUACGGAGGCAGCAGUGGGGAAUCUUGCACAAUGGGCGAAAGCCUGACGGAGCAACGCCGCGUGUAUGAAGAAGGCUUUAGGGUCGUAAAGUACUUUCAGCGGGGAGGCGUUACCCAAAGAAGAAGCACCGGCUAACUCCGUGCCAGCAGCCGCGGUAAUUC
rnacentral:rRNA from 1 species